GCUGGGUGUGGUGGUGCAUACCUGUAAUCCCAGGAUUUGGGAAGUUGAGGCAGGAGGAUCUCGAGUUCAAGGUCAGCCUCAGCAAGUUAGAUUUUGAGCCAUUUAGUGAGACCCUGUCUCAA
rnacentral:sRNA from 1 species